rnacentral:rRNA from 1 species
UACGUAGGGGGCAAGCGUUGUCCGGAAUCAUUGGGCGUAAAGAGCGCGUAGGCGGUCCGGUAAGUCCGCUCUGAAAGUCCGGGGCUCAACCCCGGGAGGCCGACCGAUACUGUCGGGCUAGAGUCCGGAAGAGGCGAGUGGAAUUCCUGGUGUAGCGGUGAAAUGCGCAGAUAUCAGGAGGAACACCAAUGGCGAAGGCAGCUCGCUGGGACGGUACUGACGCUGAGGCGCGAAAGCGUGGGGAGCAAACAGG